rnacentral:rRNA from 1 species
AGCUUGUUGGUGAGGUAACGGCUCACCAAGGCGACGACGGGUAGCUGGUCUGAGAGGACGACCAGCACACUGGGACUGAGAUACGGCCCAGACUCCUACGGGAGGCAGCAGUGGGGAAUCUUGCGCAAUGGGCGAAAGCCUGACGCAGCGACGCCGCGUGGGGGAUGAAGGCCCUCGGGUUGUAAACCCCUUUCGGCAGGGACGAAGCGAUUGUGACGGUACCUGCAGAAGAAGCCUCGGCUAACUACGUGCCAGCAGCCGCGGUAAGACGUAGGAGGCGAGCGUUGUCCGGAUUCAUUGGGCGUAAAGAGCACGCAGGCGGUUUGGCAAGUCGGACGUGAAAAUCCGGGGCUCAACCCCGGACCUGCAUCCGAAACUGCCCGACUAGAGGUAGGUAGGGGAGAUCGGAAUUCCUGGUGUAGCGGUGAAAUGCGCAGAUACCAGGAGGAACACCGGUGGCGAAGGCGGAUCUCUGGGCCUUACCUGACGCUCAGGUGCGAAAGCUAGGGGAGCGAACAGGAUUAGAUACCCUGGUAGUCCUAGCCGUAAACGUUGGGUGCUAGGUGUGUGCGGAUAUCAACCCCGUCCGUGCCGAAGCUAACGCAUUAAGCACCCCGCCUGGGGAGUACGGCCGCAAGGCUAAAACUCAAAGGAAUUGACGGGGCCCCGCACAAGCGGCGGAGCAUGUUGCUUAAUUCGAUGCGACGCGAAGAACCUUACCUGGGCUUGACAUGCAGGGUGGAACCCGUGAAAGCGGGCGCUCUUCGGAGCCUGCACAGGUGGUGCAUGGCUGUCGUCAGCUCGUGCCGUGAGGUGUUGCCUUAAGUGGCGCAACGAGCGCAACCCCUGUCCUUAGUUGCCAGCGAGUCAUGUCGGGAACUCUAGGGAGACUGCCGGUGCCAAACCGGAGGAAGGUGGGGAUGACGUCAAGUCAUCAUGCCCCUUACGUCCAGGGCUGCAAACAUGCUACAAUGCUCGGUACAAAGGGCUGCGAUCCCGCAAGGGGGAGCGAAUCCCAGAAAGCCGGGCUCAGUUCGGAUCGGGGUCUGCAACUCGACCCCGUGAAGUUGGAGUCGCUAGUAAUCGCAGAUCAGCACUGCUGCGGUGAAUACGUUCCCGGGGCUUGUACACACCGCCGUCACACCACGAAAGUGGGCAACACCCGAAGCCGGUGGCCUAACCCCUUGGGGAGGGAGCCGUCGAAGGUGGGGCUCGCGAUUGGGGCGAAGUCGUAACAAGGUAGCCGUAGCGGAGCUGCGGCUG